UACGAAGGUCCCAAGCGUUGUUCGGAAUCACUGGGCGUAAAGGGAGCGUAGGCGGCGUGGUAAGUCAGAUGUGAAAUCCCGGGGCUCAACCCCGGAACUGCAUCCGAUACUGCCAUGCUUGAGGGUUGGAGAGGUAGCUGGAAUUCUCGGUGUAGCAGUGAAAUGCGUGGAUAUCGAGAGGAACACUCGUGGCGAAGGCGAGCUACUGGACAACAUCUGACGCUGAGGCUCGAAGGCUAGGGGAGCAAAAGG
rnacentral:rRNA from 1 species